CCCUUAGAUGUUCUGGGCUGCACGCGCGCUACACUGUCGGAUUCAGCGAGUCAUAUCCUUAACCGAAAGGUUUGGGUAAUCUUUUGAAAGUCCGACGUGAUGGGGAUUGAUCAUUGCAAUUAUUGAUCAUGAACGAGGAAUUCCUAGUAAGCGCGAGUCAUCAGCUCGCGUUGAUUACGUCCCUGCCCUUUGUACACACCGCCCGUCGCUACUACCGAUUGAAUGGUUUAGUGAGAUCUUCGGAUUGGCGCCUACGCGGCUUCUCUGAGGCCACGCUGGAUGCCGAAAAGUGGCUCAAACUGUAUCAUUUAGAGGAAGUAAAAGUCGUAACA
rnacentral:rRNA from 1 species